CCUUUCUUUCUCCCUCCCUUUUCUUUUUUUUUCCUUUUUUUUUUAUUUUCCCAGUGAAAUCUGCCAGGGGGGCAGCUUGUCCCCCCUGCGUCUUACGCCGCUGUGUAUGACCUAUUUCGUUUACACCGGUUUUAGGAAAAGUUCUUGAGAAUUUUAUUCAUAAAUGGCUUUGGAAUGAAUAUUUACCUAAUCUUGACAAGAAUCAGUUCAGGAGCGUUCCAAGCUCCUCUACCACCAUAGCACUUAUUGAUCUCCGUCAUCACUGGUAUCAGGAAACGGAUGCUAAUAGACAAGCCAUUAGGGUGUUACUAGUAGACUUCCAAAAAGCUUUUGACCGAAUUAAAGAGCCAACUCAGGGAACUUGUUGAGGAUCUGACCAUGGUCCCUAGCAACCGUACCAACAAUACAACAGCUUCGGCAACAUCUUUAUUGACACCGCCUGCAACAGCUGCAACAACACCUUCAGCAACACGAACUUCAACAGCUGCAACAAUAGUGAGUACAUCAACAGGAGCUGUGUCAACACCAGUCACAUGUAGCUCUUCUGACCUUGCUACUACUAGUGCUGCAUCACCUCUAUCUUUCCUACAUGGAUCAACAUUGCCACAGAUGCCCCCACCACCACCACCAUCAUCAUCAUCUGUUUCUAUGGCAGAGACAACUUCAGUUACCAUUAUGACGACUUCUCCUUCAGAGUCAAGAUUACGGAAGAAAGUAGAGAGAUAAAACAGGUUUUCUGCAGACUUUGUCGUGCUCUUAGGGAUAGUAAUGUUCAGAUAGAUUAAAAACCAGGUAUUCCAUUCUUAGUGUGUAAACAUGCUUCUCUGAUUCAUACUCAAAUUAAUGUUGUAUAUUUAAUGUUUGCUGCUGCAAGUGUGUUAUGUUCAAAUAUGGAAAUACAACCUAAGGGGAAUUAAUUCUAGAGAAAAGCUGAGUAAACAAAGGAAGAAAUUGUUAUCUGAUAGUUAGUAGGAGUCUGCUAUUAUUGAUGUAUCUUUUGGUUCAUAUGUAGUUUGCAAACAUAUCCAGGGAUCUGCUUAAAAUUGGAAGGCAGUAUUACAAAAUUAGAAUUUCUUUCAUUAGUAAAUUGUGGUUUCCUUACAAAUGUGUGUAAUUUCCAUUACUAUAUUGUUUGCAAUAAACUUGUGAUGUGUAAUAAUAUUACCAUGUAUGUGACUUUAUUCUUGAGAGGUUGUCCCAAAGAAUGAUAUAGGAUGUAAUAUUUAAUCUAUGGAUUAAAUUACCAGAAUUACAUUUCUCCCAUUGCAUGAAGUGAUGUGUGAUGUUAGGGUUAUGAAAUGCACUUUAAGUUGUUAGAAGUAACCAGAAAGGUAUGGGACUACAUCAAAGUUGAAAGAAUUCAAAGCUACAUAAAUGCUGCCAGUUUUGUAUCAUACUAACCAGGCCAUGCAAAUACCAAUCGUUCUUCCAUGCUCCCUUGAGCUCAGGUACGGAGUAUAAUCUGAACCGAUAAGAGCUUCAUGGAAAUAGAUGUUUCAAGUCUUGUUUUUUAGAGUUUUACAGGGUGGUGGCUUAGAUUUUAACUAUUUCUAUCACCCCAACCACAUUGUCCACCACUACUAUGAAUGUUAUCAAACUCUACCUGUAUAAUCAUAUGUAAAAUCCAAGGCAUUGCCAUUGUGUAUGAUUCUUUUAUGAAUCUCACCUCUGUAAUCUUUUUCUUGUUAUAUAGACUCUAUGGGCUUUGAUCAAGUUGCAACCUGCUUCUUCUAUAUUCAUUCAUAUUUGUCUUACCGCCCUUUCACACGGUAAAAAAAAUUGUAAUUUGAAUGAUGAUUCCAGUGAAAAGGCUAUUGAUGACUAUUUUCCUGUGUGAAACCAAACUAGAACAUGAUUGGAAUCACGAACGCUAAUCACAGUCACGAUUACAAUAGCAAUCAUCAUUACAAUGCUGAUUCGAGAUUCAUGUGUGAAAAGGCUCGUAGUUUAACCGAGAUAGGCAAACAUUUUUUAAGCCUAACAGUGCAUUUAUGAAUACUCUCACAUUAUGAUAUGUGUUGUGGAGCAAUGUCAUGCGAAUAGAUCUAUUUUGAUAAUAAGAGUAAUUAUUGCUGUGAACUGCCAGAUUUUAAGAAACUGGGUACGGCUUUAGGAAGGGACUUGAAACAUUCCUCAUACCAGUCUCUCUCUCACUUAUUUCUUUUGUUAUUGUAAUCUUGAGGAUAGAAAUACACAAGUGCUGCAAAUAUUGUUGAGACUUAACAAUGCAAUUUGUAGAUGGUUGUAUGUUGAUGUGUGAUGUGAACCAUCAUACCUUGUUAACGUUGUGUGAGCAUUGACAAUACCUCAAUAAAGUGCUCUAAUCACCUGUGAA